GCCACCCGGCCCCUGGCGUGUGCCGCCACUUAACCUCGAUCACCUUUCAAAACCACCAUGAGAGGGGAGUGUGCCACCACUUAAUCGCCCAGAGAGCUGCGGUUUGCGGUUAACCGCAGGUUAAUUGACGGCCCCGAGCCUCCACGUUCGUACCUUAUUUCCCUUCACGGCGGUCUACGUUCGUCUCCCGAACAGCUGAGACAUCCAGCCAGAGAGCGGGGAUUCGGG